rnacentral:rRNA from 1 species
GAAUUCGCCCUUAGAGUUUGAUCCUGGCUCAGGACGAACGCUGGCGGCGCGCCUAACACAUGCAAGUCGAACGAGCGAGAGAGAGCUUGCUUUCUCGAGCGAGUGGCGAACGGGUGAGUAACGCGUGAGGAACCUGCCUCAAAGAGGGGGACAACAGUUGGAAACGACUGCUAAUACCGCAUAAGCCCACGGGUCGACAUCGACCAGAGGGAAAAGGAGCAAUCCGCUUUGAGAUGGCCUCGCGUCCGAUUAGCUGGUUGGUGAGGUAACGGCCCACCAAGGCGACGAUUGGUAGCCGGACUGAGAGGUUGAACGGCCACAUUGGGACUGAGACACGGCCCAGACUCCUACGGGAGGCAGCAGUGGGGGAUAUUGCACAAUGGGGGAAACCCUGAUGCAGCGACGCCGCGUGGAGGAAGAAGGUUUUCGGAUUGUAAACUCCUGUCGUUAGGGACGAUAAUGACGGUACCUAACAAGAAAGCACCGGCUAACUACGUGCCAGCAGCCGCGGUAAAACGUAGGGUGCAAGCGUUGUCCGGAAUUACUGGGUGUAAAGGGAGCGCAGGCGGACCGGCAAGUUGGAAGUGAAAACUAUGGGCUCAACCCAUAAAUUGCUUUCAAAACUGCUGGCCUUGAGUAGUGCAGAGGUAGGUGGAAUUCCCGGUGUAGCGGUGGAAUGCGUAGAUAUCGGGAGGAACACCAGUGGCGAAGGCGACCUACUGGGCACCAACUGACGCUGAGGCUCGAAAGCAUGGGUAGCAAACAGGAUUAGAUACCCUGGUAGUCCAUGCCGUAAACGAUGAUUACUAGGUGUUGGAGGAUUGACCCCUUCAGUGCCGCAGUUAACACAAUAAGUAAUCCACCUGGGGAGUACGACCGCAAGGUUGAAACUCAAAGGAAUUGACGGGGGCCCGCACAAGCAGUGGAGUAUGUGGUUUAAUUCGAAGCAACGCGAAGAACCUUACCAGGUCUUGACAUCCGAUGCAUAGCGCAGAGAUGCGUGAAGUCCUUCGGGACAUCGAGACAGGUGGUGCAUGGUUGUCGUCAGCUCGUGUCGUGAGAUGUUGGGUUAAGUCCCGCAACGAGCGCAACCCUUAUUGCCAGUUACUACGAAAGAGGACUCUGGCGAGACUGCCGUUGACAAAACGGAGGAAGGUGGGGAUGACGUCAAAUCAUCAUGCCCUUUAUGAUCUGGGCUACACACGUGCUACAAUGGCGUAAACAAAGGGAGGCAAAGCCGCGAGGUGGAGCAAAUCCCAAAAAUAACGUCUCAGUUCGGACUGCAGUCUGCAACUCGACUGCACGAAGCUGGAAUCGCUAGUAAUCGCGAAUCAGAAUGUCGCGGUGAAUACGUUCCCGGGUCUUGCACACACCGCCCGUCA